rnacentral:rRNA from 1 species
AUGAACGCUGGCGGCGUGCCUAAUACAUGCACGUCGCGCGAACAGACGAGGAGCUUGCUCCUCUGACGUUAGCGGCGGACGGGUGAGUAACACGUGGAUAACCUACCUAUAAGACUGGGAUAACUUCGGGAAACCGGAGCUAAUACCGGAUAAUAUAUUGAACCGCAUGGUUCAAUAGUGAAAGACGGUUUUGCUGUCACUUAUAGAUGGAUCCGCGCCGCAUUAGCUAGUUGGUAAGGUAACGGCUUACCAAGGCGACGAUGCGUAGCCGACCUGAGAGGGUGAUCGGCCACACUGGAACUGAGACACGGUCCAGACUCCUACGGGAGGCAGCAGUAGGGAAUCUUCCGCAAUGGGCGAAAGCUUGACGGAGCAACGCCGCGUGAGUGAUGAAGGUCUUCGGAUCGUAAAACUCUGUUAUUAGGGAAGAACAAAUGUGUAAGUAACUAUGCACGUCUUGACGGUACCUAAUCAGAAAGCCACGGCUAACUACGUG